rnacentral:rRNA from 1 species
UACUAGAGUAGCACUCGCAUAUCAAUAAGCGGAGGAAAAGAAACUAACAAGGAUUCCCCUAGUAACGGCGAGUGAAGCGGGAAGAGCUCAAAUUUGAAAUCUUAAAGGGUUUCCCUUUACGGAAUUGUAGUUUAAAGAAGUGUUUUCUGUUGAGGUUUUGGUAAAAGUUCUUUGGAAUAGGACAUCAUAGAGGGUGAGAAUCCCGUAUUUGACCUUUACUUUCAACUUUGUGAUACACUUUCAAAGAGUCGGAUUGUUUGGGAAUGCAGUCCAAAAUGGGUGGUAAAUUUCAUCUAAAGCUAAAUAUUGGCGAGUAGACCGAUAGCGAACAAGUACCGUGAGGGAAAGAUGAAAAGAACUUUGAAAAGAGAGUUAAACAGUACGUGAAAUUGUCAAAAGGGAAGCGUUUGACACCAGUGUUGUUUUUCUGAAAAUCAAUUAAAGAACUGUUUAUGCUAAGCUGUUUAGACUUUAUCAGCUAUCUGUUUAGUUUUGAGCUUUUCUUUAAUGCACUUUUCAGUUAACAAGUCAACAUCAAUUUCUUUUGCUGUAAAAAAGCUUGAGGAAGGUGGCUUGAGAUUCGUCUUAAGUGUUUAUAGCCUCUUGCCUAUGCAGUCGGAGAGAUUGAGGUCUGCAGCGUAGAUCCUUCGGGGCUAAAUGCAUUUGUGCUAAGUUAUAGCAUUUUAUAGACAACUUGUUGACUAUGAUUUGUCUUGUAGCUUACUCGCUUAUGUUAUUUUACCUACGCUUAGGAUGUUGAACUCUAUCACACACAG